GGCGAACGGGUGAGUAACACGUGGGCAACCUGCCCCGGACACCGGGAUAACCCAGGGAAACCUGAGCUAAUACCGGAUACUCCGGCGCGAUCGCAUGGUCGUACCGGGAAAGCUCCGACGGUCCGGGAUGGGCCCGCGGCCUAUCAGCUUGUUGGUGGGGUAACGGCCCACCAAGGCGACGACGGGUAGCUGGUCUGAGAGGACGGCCAGCCACACUGGGACUGAGACACGGCCCAGACUCCUACGGGAGGCAGCAGUGGGGGAUCUUGCGCUAAUGCGCGAAAGCGUGACGCAGCGACGCCGCGUGGGGGAUGAAGGCCUUCGGGUUGUAAACCCCUUUCGGCAGGGACGAAGGGAAACUGACGGUACCUGCAGAAGAAGUCCCGGCUAACUACGUGCCAGCAGCCGCGGUAACACGUAGGGGACGAGCGUUGUCCGGAUUCAUUGGGCGUAAAGCGCGCGUAGGCGGCUCGGAAAGUCGGUCGUGAAAUGCCGGGGCUCAACCCCGGGACUGCGUCCGAUACUUCCGGGCUGGAGGUAGGUAGGGGAGAUCGGAAUUCCUGGUGUAGCGGUGAAAUGCGCAGAUAUCAGGAGGAACACCGGUGGCGAAGGCGGAUCUCUGGGCCUUACCUGACGCUGAGGCGCGAAAGCUAGGGGAGCGAACAGGAUUAGAUACCCUGGUAGUCC
rnacentral:rRNA from 1 species